AUGGACCUGCGCCGUAUUAGCUAGUUGGUAAGGUAACGGCUUACCAAGGCAACGAUACGUAGCCGACCUGAGAGGGUGAUCGGCCACACUGGAACUGAGACACGGUCCAGACUCCUACGGGAGGCAGCAGUAGGGAAUCUUCCGCAAUGGGCGAAAGCCUGACGGAGCAACGCCGCGUGAGUGAUGAAGGUCUUCGGAUCGUAAAACUCUGUUAUUAGGGAAGAACAAACGUGUAAGUAACUGUGCACGUCUUGACGGUACCUAAUCAGAAAGCCACGGCUAACUACGUGCCAGCAGCCGCGGUAAUACGUAGGUGGCAAGCGUUAUCCGGAAUUAUUGGGCGUAAAGCGCGCGUAGGCGGUUUUUUAAGUCUGAUGUGAAAGCCCACGGCUCAACCGUGGAGGGUCAUUGGAAACUGGAAAACUUGAGUGCAGAAGAGGAAAGUGGAAUUCCAUGUGUAGCGGUGAAAUGCGCAGAGAUAUGGAGGAACACCAGUGGCGAAGGCGACUUUCUGGUCUGUAACUGACGCUGAUGUGCGAAAGCGUGGGGAUCAACCAGGAUUAGAUACCCUGGUAGUCCACGCCGUAAACGAUGAGUGCUAA
rnacentral:rRNA from 1 species